UGGGGAAUUUUGGACAAUGGGGGAAACCCUGAUCCAGCAAUGCCGCGUGUGUGAAGAAGGCCUUCGGGUUGUAAAGCACUUUUGUCAGGGAAGAAAACCGUUUGGAUAAUACCUGGACGGGUUGACGGUACCUGUCGAAUAAGCACCGGCUAACUACGUGCCAGCAGCCGCGGUAAUACGUAGGGUGCAAGCGUUAAUCGGAAUUACUGGGCGUAAAGCGUGCGCAGGCGGCACUGCAAGACAGAUGUGAAAUCCCCGGGCUCAACCUGGGAACUGCAUUUGUGACUGCAGAGCUAGAGUGUGUCAGAGGGGGGUGGAAUUCCACGUGUAGCAGUGAAAUGCGUAGAGAUGUGGAGGAACACCGAUGGCGAAGGCAGCCCCCUGGGAUAACACUGACGCUCAGGCACGAAAGCGUGGGGAGCAAACA
rnacentral:rRNA from 1 species